rnacentral:lncRNA from 1 species
AAAGGGGGUGUGUGAAAAGGGGUGAGUGUGCAAAGGGGGUGUGUGUGCAAAGGGCUGGGUGAGCAGGGAUGGGUGUGCUGGAUGUGUGCAUGGGCUCAGGUGUGCAAGGAUGGGCACGGGGAUGGGUGUACAGGGUCAGGUGUGCAAGGAUGGGUGUGCAGGGAUGAGUGUGCAGGGCUGGGUGUGCAAGGAUGGGUGCACAGAGAUGGGUGUGCUGGAUGUGUGCAUGGGGCCAGGUGUGCAAGGAUGGGCGCACAGGGAUUGGUUUGCAGGGCCAGGUGUGCAAAGAUGAGCGCACAGGGAUGUGUGUACAGGGCCAGGUGUGCAAGGAUGGGCAGACAGGGAUGGGUGUGCAGGGCCAGGUGUGCAAAGAUGGACGCACAGGGAUGGGUGUGCAGGGCCAGGUGUGCAAGGAUGGACGCAUAGGGAUGGGUGUGCAGGGAUGGGUGUGCAGGGAGGGGUGUGCUGGGUGUGUGCAUGGGCUCAGGUGUGCAGGGAUGGGUUUGCAGGGCCAGGUGUGCAAAGAUGAGCGCACAGAGACAGGCGCGUGCUGCUGUGUGUGCAAGGAUACACACGGAGGGCAGCUGCACGGGGUCAGCUGUGCAAAAGGGAGCGCACAGGGAUGGGUGUGCAGGGCCAGGUGUGCAAGGAUGGGUGGACAGGGAUGGGU